CCAUGUGGUUCUCUGAAUGAACUAUAACAUCAAGAGAGUUUCAGUCAAAAGUUGUUUUCCAUUUGGUUAGCACAGAGAAAGAAAAAAAACUUUGAAUGUGUCAUUAAGUUUUUGUUUAUGAAGGUAGUUUUAAAGCAGAUUAUUUGUUUGUUCUCUAUACAAUUUCCAAAGUCAGAUAUAAUUUCUUCCUCUUAUAUGCCCGAGGAAGGAUGUUAGGAAUGAGGAGAGUUUCCAAGGCUCAGAUUCCAGGAUGACAUUGCUGGCGUGCUCCACACAGGACAAGACUAAUUCCAUGAUAUUUGCCUCUCUUGAAUAAAUGGUGACUCAUCUCUGAACCUCAAAUUUCAGUCUCAGCUACCUAGGAAUCAGCAACAAUCAGAGAAAAGGGAUGUAGGGCAGUUACAGUAAAAACAAACAAAAGAACAGAAAAUCAAAGAGCAGCAAAAAAACAACACUGCCAAAUAAAACCUCCCCUCCCCUGCCCUUCCUUCCUUUUCUUUCCCUUUCUCCUUCUUAGGGGAAAGAAGCAGUGGGGAAAAGAAAAAAGAAAAAAGAAAGAAAGAAAGAAAAAAGAAAGAAAGAAAGAAAGAAAGAAAGAAAGAAAGAAAGAAAGAAAGAAAGAAAGAAAGAAAGAAAGAAAGAAAGAAAGAAAGAAAGAAAGAAAGAAAGGAAGAAAGAAAGAAAGAAAGAAAGAAAGAAAGAAAGAAAGAAAGAAAGAAAGGAAGAAAGAAGGAAAGAAGGAAAGAAAGAAAGAAUUAAAAAAAAGAAAGAAAAUAAAAAAAAAACACUUUCUUUCCAGAAGUCUUUAAACCAUUGCAGCUGCCUUCUGCAGUGGAGUGGGAGAUUGCUGUGCAAGAGAGGACUCCAAAAACCAAGGAUAAAACAGUUCUCAAGAGAACAGAUCAUCUGACAAAGAGGAGCCUACUAACAAGGCCUUCUUGCUUCAGCAUCAAGAGGCAUCGUGCUCACAGACUUUCAUCUUGAUGGGAGAUUUCAACCGCAUGGAUGUAAGCUGGGAAAACAACAUGGAAGGUUGAAAAUAUUCCAAGAGACUGCUGAAGAUAACUACCUGGUCCAGGUAUUGGACAGAUCAACUAGAGGUGAAGCAUUGCUGGACCUGGUGCCCAGCAAUGCAGAGAAAAUAAUUGGAGAUGUUAAAGUUGGAGACAGUCUGGACUGUAGAGACCACGUCCUGGUUGAGUUCAUGAUCUCAAGAAACACAGGCCUAGCAAAGAAUUGAGUCAGGACCCUGAACUUCAGAAGAAGGAACUAUUGGCAGUUUAAGAAUUAUUGGAGAAGAUUCCUCUGAGAGACUGUUCUUAAGGACAUAGGAAAAAAUGUACCUGGUAGCUCUAUAAGGAUAUAUUUCUGAGACCUUUUCAACCCCCAGCAUAAUAAAUCAAAUACAGGAGGCGGGAAAUCAGCAAGGCUGAGCAAGAAUUGAUUGGUCAAAUCAAGGGACAAGAUGGAAAAGUACAGAUGGUGGAAGCAGGGACAUAUGGCCUGGGAAGAAGGGAUGCCAUCCGGACAUGCAGGGAUGAGAUCAGAAAAGCCAAGAUGCAGGUGGAGCUGAACUUGAUGAGGGAUGUGAAAAAUAACAAGUCUUUCUUUAGGUAUACCGGUCCGAAGAGACAAGCAAACUGGCUUCAACAGACACGGAGAAGGAUGACGUACUGAAGAAGUUCUUUUCCUUGAUCUUCUCUGCUAGUUAGGCUUAUCAUGUCUCUUAUGUCCCUGAAACUCAAGGUAGGAGUCUUUCACGGUUUUAUGAUUUUUGGUUAUUGGUAUUCCACAUCGUAACAUCAUGUAGUGCACUGGGAGUUAAAGAGUUAAUGCUCCAAUUCUAGGCACCUGUCCGGAAAGAGAAUAACAACAUAUCCCAGAAGACUGCGUUCAGAGAGGAGAUAUAACCCCUGGCAGGGUCACCUGACUUCUCUUUUUUCCUUCAGCUCUCCUCCCUGCUGCUCGACCUGACUGCACAUCUCGCCUCAGCGUUGUGGUAUGGCCUUCAGUUCUUGGACACUUUCUCUCUCUUUCAUUACAUUUGAUUUAUUACCUUAGAUUCUAAUUGUAUUGUAUUAUAGUGUGUUAUCUUCCAUUCCAAUACUAUAUUUAGUAAAUUAGUUUGUUUCUCCUCAGAUCGUUGCUGCUAUUUUUCAUUAUUCAGGGUCCCCUGUUUCCCCUUUCAGAAGGUGUGGAUCUGUGGAUCCACAUUAGGAAGAAGUGAUGCCUGCAGAGAGACAUGGAUGGACUAGAGAAGUGGGCUGACAUGACCCCAGUGCGAUUUGGCAAGGCUAUGUGCAAGGUGUUACUUGUGUCACAUAUAUUCCUAUUAUGCAUGGGAGAAGAACUCAUUGAGAGCAGACCUGCUGAGAAGAACUUUGGAGUCCUGGUGGACAAAUAAUCCAGGCAUGAGCCGUUAGUGUGCACUUGCAUCUCAGAAGACAAACUGAAUCCUAAGCUGUAUCAAAUCAGGUGUGGUUAACAGUGCCAGGGAGGUGAUUGUCCUCUCUACUCUGCUCUUGUGAGCAUCUGGAGUACUGUAUCCAUGUCUGGGGCCCUAUCAGUGCAAUCACUGUGUGUAUUAUUUAUAAGUCUGACAUUGGUCUAAGCUGUGUAAAUGAGCACUGGUUAAUGCAGAGGAAAUGUAAAAAGUAUUCAAACUUUUAAACAUAGGGAAAUCAUAUUCAUUUAACAGGGAACAGCAAAGCUGGCUGUUUUAUUUUUCCUUUGUGUAUAAGAAACAUACACCAUUUUGCUUGACAUUCAGUAUGAAUAUGCAAAGGCUUUUGAUACAUCUGUUGUUAAUAUGCAAGAUAAUGAAUGUGCUUAAAAUUCUGCUCUUCUUGUCUGCUGAUUAAAUGAAAUAAGCAGAACAGUCCACCAUAUCUAUAUGCUUUAGAGGACCAAUGUUUGCAACAAAGUAGUAACUGUUCACAUUACGUUCUGUUUUAUUACUAUUUUCUGAUGGAAAACUGUUUUUUCAUGAAGCUCCAAAUUUUUCAAUGAAAAUAUCCACCACAAAAAGAAAAACAAAAACACUUAAUCUGUUAACCCUUCUUACUGCAUUUCAAAUGAAUAAUAUUACUGAAGACUGAAGGAGAUGUCUAAUAUUUUACAUUGCUUUCUGGAAAUAGUGGUGGUUCCUGUUUCCACAUGUUCUCCAGUUAUUGUGGAGAGGGAAUUCAUGCUUGGGUAAACACCAUGGCCAAGACACUACUGUUCCUCUCCUCACUUCUCUAAAAGGGUAAAAUAAUUAAACUUAUUAUUUCAUAAGGCAGUUUGGCAUAUAAUUUUGAUAUAAUCAUAUGGAACUCAAAUGACAUAAAGUUACACACAGUACAAAAAAUAUUGAGAUAGAAGCAUUUUCAAAAAUCUGACCAAUUCCAUUGUUUGUCUAAAAUUAAAUCUUAAAUAUUUAUGAAGAUGAAUCUAUACUACAAUGAGUUACUGCAUUUUUUUUUUCAUUAAAAUAUUGAGGGAUUCUAAUCCAUUAAUCCCGAUGUUAAUUAAAAAAAAUCGUUGUCAAAAUGAUAGACUGUUAUUAUUAUUAUCUUUUUUUUAUAUUCUUUUUCUUUUCAAUUAUAUCUACUCCUUAGAGAAGACACAACCCAGGUGAAUUAAUUUUUUCUCUCAAGAAAAUAGCGAGGACUGAGUUUGCCAAAGAGCUUCUAUAAAAGUGGAAAAAGACAAGCUCUCAUCUAAUAAUGUUCCUAUUAAUACACUUUUCUGUGUGUACUUUUGCUUUGAACAUAUAACAGUAAUGAAAAAAUACAGUGGUAGACACUUGAUAUUUGUCUAUUCAUAUUUAUUUAUUAAUAUAUUAAUAUAUUAAACAAUAUUUAUAUUGUUUAAAAGGCAGCUAAUUUUGGAAUAAAUAAAUAAAUAAAUAAUCCCACAACACUCCAGAGUUCAGUAAAGAUGAAAGAUACCCCAUGAGAUUUAAGACACAAUUUGGUUGUGCAUUUUCAACCCAUAUGAGUAAGUAGGAAGGGAUGGCAAUGACAAACUUGCCACUAACACCACAUAAUGGUGCAAUGGGUCACUCUAGUCUGGUGAUGUAUGCUGUUGUACGAAAAAAAGAUUUUUCUAUAUCCACAUGAGUUAUUUAAAUUGCUCUUCCAUGUCAGAACACUGAGCCUACCACAGCGGUGGCCAGCAUAAUAUGGGAUAGGAUAUGAGGUCCCCAAGUUGUGGUGCUCCAGAGCCAUGGGGUGGAUUUUCUGCUAAUAUUAAGAAAGUGACACCCUAGCUACUUGAUCUGCUGUCUAAAUCAGUUUUCCAUCUACAAUAUUAACAGUACCAUACAUUGUAUGGUUAGAUUAAAUAAAGACUGAAAGCUCUUAAAUACAGCGUAUCAGAAUGCAUUAAAAUAGUUAUGCAUCAAAAUUAAAACAAGACAGUUUUAAAAUAUCUAUUGUGGACCGAAGAUCAGCUACAAAAGAAUGUGGUUCUGGAAGAAUUUUCUUUAUUUCUGGCAGCCCUAUGAAACUAGCAGUAGGACUGCUGGCACUGUCUUCUAGGUCUUGGGGGAUGCUUUUAAUCCAACAAGGCACUGCUAUUAUUAGGAAGGCUGCAGUGUAACUACACCAUCAUUGCAUUCUGUCAGUUUAGUUUUGCAUGAACCAUUUGGUUCAUGACGCUCUAAAUUUAAUACUGUGCUACAGAUAAACUAGAAACAGAAUAAAUAUUGUAAGAACAAAGCUGUCACAGAAACACACUCUGAGUGUUUCGACCCCAUUCAAAGGCCCUUCACUAUAAUUGUCUCUGACAGAAGGCCCCUGUACAGUGAGUACUUUAGUUGCCAAUGACCUUAAACACGAUUAUCAUUAGCCUUCUUGUAAUACUCUCUCUUCCUUGAACUCAAAUUACUGUGCUUCUCAGAUGGAUUUAUAAAGGCAGUUCAAUACUGUAGUUAGAAUAAUCCGAGCUGUUUGAAUCAAUGCUGUGUCCUUUGUAAAUAAAGCUGUUCUGAAAUGCAUGCUGUAAUAAUUAUAUCCAUAAUUUGUUACAGUUAUUGUAAUAAAUUUGACUAUAAUAAUUUGAAUUAUUGUUGCAAAGAAGCCACAAGGAUUACUUGAUUACUUAAUCAAGUAAUAAUUUAUGCUGAUAAAAAUAUCAGGGCCAUUCCUAAAGUUAGGGUUUGUUUAAGCCAAACAUUUAAAUAAUUAAACAGUUGUUCAGAGACAAUAAAGCUACUUUGACUUGAAAACAAAACUCACUUACCAUUUGUAAACGUGUAUAAACUUAAAAAAAAAAAAAAAAGAGCAAAAGAAAAAUAUGUUUGUUUUUUUUUCCUUCACUCAUUGUUCCCAAACCUGACAGCCUGCCAAAGGCAGAGAAAAAAGCCCUUGACCAGACACCCUGAAAAGGUUCAGACAUUCUUUACUACAGAUCCCAUUAUUGAUGAUUUUAAUGGAGAUUGGAUGUGGUUUUGUUUUGUAUUGCUUCGUUUUCAUACCUAAAAUUUAACUUCUAAUUCAGAUAGAAGCCAGGGAAAGUCAGUAGUCCUUGUUAAUUACAGUUGUGACGGUAACCUGUAAUACUUAAUUUUUAGUUUUUCUUGUAACCAUUAUUCGUUUGCCUGUAUCAGAAAACAGGUGGGGCACCCAAUGUUUGAAAAAAUAAUAGCUGGUGAUGUAAUUUCAAUUUAGGCAUCUGAAAACCGAAUUUUCAAACUGCAUUUUAUUUUCUCUCUAUAUUAACUUACUGAUAAUUUAAUGGAAUGUAUGUUGGAUUUUUUUCUUUUUUUUUUUUUUUUUUAUUUAGCCAGAUACUAUUCUCAGCACUACAAAAUCACAAAGAUCAAAAUCUGUAUCAGCAGCAUGCAUACUCUGUGGGUUCACCAAGGCAUCACAACAUCAUUUAUUGUCUUAUUUUUCUCCUUUACCUUUUAUUUUCCUUCCUAAAUUUCAAAACAAAUAUAGAUAAAGUAAUUCCAG
ensembl:lncRNA